rnacentral:snRNA from 1 species
AAAACUAUGGAACGCUUCAUGAAUUUGUGUGUCAUCCUUGCACAGGGGCCAUGCUAAUCUUCUCUGUGUGGUUCCAAUUUUAGUAUAUGUGCUGCUGAAGUGAGCAC